rnacentral:lncRNA from 1 species
GUGGUUAGGAUGGAUAUGGUUGAAGUCUCGAUUGUACGUCACGUUUCACUAGUGCUGUUAUUGCUUUGGAUCUUGGCAUCUUUGGGUUGGAGCCAUCCAGUUGUUUUCUUUGGAGGUUUUUGUAUCUUUAUAAGGGAAGGCUGGUUUCCCUGCUUUGCUCAUGAUUUCGAGUCUUGUUAAUUUUUUGGGUAAGCAGAGUCUUGUUAAUUUUAAUCCACUUUGGCAU